rnacentral:rRNA from 1 species
AUUGAACGCUGGCGGCAUGCUUUACACAUGCAAGUCGAACGGUAACAGGCCGCAAGGUGCUGACGGGUGGCGAACGGGUGAGUAAUGCACCCGAAAGUGACCAGUCGUGGGCGUUAACUAAUCGUCAGGGUAGCUAAUACCGCAUACGAUCUAUGCUUGAAAGGGGGGGACCGGAAGGCAUAGCGUGAGUGGAGCGGGCGGUGUCGGAUUAGGAAGUUGGUGGGGUUAAGGCUCACGAAGCCAAAGACUUGGAGCUGUUCUGGGAGUACGAGGGGCCACACUGGGACUGAGACACGGCCCAGACUCCUACGGGAGGCAGCAGUGGGGAAUUUGGGACAAUGGGCGCAAGCCUUAUCCAGCAAUGCCGCGUGCAGGAAGAAGGCCUUCGGUUUGUAAACUGCUUUUGUACGGAACGAAACGGCUCUGGUUAAUACCCGGGGCUAAUGACGGUACCGUAAGAAUAAGCACCGGCUAACUACGUG